AGAGUUUGAUCCUGGCUCAGGACGAACGCUGGCGGCGUGCCUAAUACAUGCAAGUAGAACGCUGAAGAGAGGAGCUUGCUCUUCUUGGAUGAGUUGCGAACGGGUGAGUAACGCGUAGGUAACCUGCCUUGCAGCGGGGGAUAACUAUUGGAAACGAUAGCUAAUACCGCAUAACAAUGGAUGACCCAUGUCAUUUAUUUGAAAGGGGCAAAUGCUCCACUACAAGAUGGACCUGCGUUGUAUUAGCUAGUAGGUGAGGUAACGGCUCACCUAGGCGACGAUACAUAGCCGACCUGAGAGGGUGAUCGGCCACACUGGGACUGAGACACGGCCCAGACUCCUACGGGAGGCAGCAGUAGGGAAUCUUCGGCAAUGGGGGCAACCCUGACCGAGCAACGCCGCGUGAGUGAAGAAGGUUUUCGGAUCGUAAAGCUCUGUUGUAAGUCAAGAACGAGUGUGAGAGUGGAAAGUUCACACUGUGACGGUAGCUUACCAGAAAGGGACGGCUAACUACGUGCCAGCAGCCGCGGUAAUACGUAGGUCCCGAGCGUUGUCCGGAUUUAUUGGGCGUAAAGCGAGCGCAGGCGGUUUGAUAAGUCUGAAGUUAAAGGCUGUGGCUCAACCAUAGUUCGCUUUGGAAACUGUCAAACUUGAGUGCAGAAGGGGAGAGUGGAAUUCCAUGUGUAGCGGUGAAAUGCGUAGAUAUAUGGAGGAACACCGGUGGCGAAAGCGGCUCUCUGGUCUGUAACUGACGCUGAGGCUCGAAAGCGUGGGGAGCGAACAGGAUUAGAUACCCUGGUAGUCCACGCCGUAAACGAUGAGUGCUAGGUGUUGGAUCCUUUCCGGGAUUCAGUGCCGCAGCUAACGCAUUAAGCACUCCGCCUGGGGAGUACGACCGCAAGGUUGAAACUCAAAGGAAUUGACGGGGGCCCGCACAAGCGGUGGAGCAUGUGGUUUAAUUCGAAGCAACGCGAAGAACCUUACCAGGUCUUGACAUCCCGAUGCUAUUUCUAGAGAUAGAAAGUUACUUCGGUACAUCGGUGACAGGUGGUGCAUGGUUGUCGUCAGCUCGUGUCGUGAGAUGUUGGGUUAAGUCCCGCAACGAGCGCAACCCCUAUUGUUAGUUGCCAUCAUUCAGUUGGGCACUCUAGCGAGACUGCCGGUAAUAAACCGGAGGAAGGUGGGGAUGACGUCAAAUCAUCAUGCCCCUUAUGACCUGGGCUACACACGUGCUACAAUGGUUGGUACAACGAGUUGCGAGUCGGUGACGGCAAGCUAAUCUCUUAAAGCCAAUCUCAGUUCGGAUUGUAGGCUGCAACUCGCCUACAUGAAGUCGGAAUCGCUAGUAAUCGCGGAUCAGCACGCCGCGGUGAAUACGUUCCCGGGCCUUGUACACACCGCCCGUCACACCACGAGAGUUUGUAACACCCGAAGUCGGUGAGGUAACCUUUUGGAGCCAGCCGCCUAAGGUGGGAUAGAUGAUUGGGGUGAAGUCGUAACAAGGUA
rnacentral:rRNA from 1 species